CACGUAGGGGACGAGCGUUGUCCGGAUUUAUUGGGCGUAAAGAGCUCGUAGGCGGCUUGUCGCGUCGUCUGUGAAAACUUGGGGCUCAACCCCAAGCUUGCGGUCGAUACGGGCAGGCUCGAGUUCGGUAGGGGAGACUGGAAUUCCUGGUGUAGCGGUGAAAUGCGUAGAGAUCAGGAGGAACACCUAUGGCGAAAGCAGGUACUGGCCCAAUACUGACGCUGAGCUGCGAAAGCUAGGGGAGCAAACAGG
rnacentral:rRNA from 1 species